ACCAAUUCUGCAACAAAAAUUGGAUGGAGCUCACGACGGAAGAUUAGCCACAACGAGCAUGGGAUUUUUUUUUUUUUUUAAAUGAAAGAAUUGCUUACGUUUUAACCAGUUGACUACAAACAUCGCUUUGAUGUUUGAUGUUUGCAUUAUGCAACAUCUGGAUAUAUUUUUUUUCAACUUCUGCACCUGCUAGAAAUGGGAAACCUGAGCUUACAACAGACUCGUAUUUCUUUCUAAAUGAAUGUCGUUGGUCUGUCGUAUGGGUUCGUGCAGGCAAUCCCAACAUGCGGCGUAUGUUUGCCAAGUUUAUACCCCGUCUGCUGACCACUCAACAGAAAGAACAUUGCGUCGAAGCCUGUGAAGAUCUUCGUUAGCCGCUGAUGACCCAUCCAUCAUGUCGACGAUCAUCACCGAUGACGAGAGUUGGAUCUACGGGUACGAUCCUGAGACGAAGUAAAAGUCGUCACAAUGGAAGAGCCCUUCAUCUACACAACCGAAGAUGGCACGAUAGUGCCGCAACUUAAUGAAGAGCUGGGGUUUUUUUCUCCGACAUCUGCGGUAUUGCAAUUUAUUAGCAAACGACUAUUCCUUCAUUGCAAACGAGUGGAGCCUACCUCUGAACAUGCGAAACGUGAAAACUUUUGUCCCCUAGCAUUGUUAAAAGUUCUGAUAACUGUCAAUUCUCUACACCAAUAUGUAGUCGCUUCAGAUAGAUAUAUAUCAGUCUAUCACCUUAAUAUUCCAUCACAUUUGUUCACCUCUACAUAUCUUUUUUUUUUUUUAUUUAUCAUAUAUAGCGAAAAUGCUGUGUAAACGGAACCGACAUUGACUUGGAUUCUUUCUUUUAAACUGUACUCUUUGAAGGGGAAUUACAUUGUUCUCUUCAAUUUCUUCCUCCCGCUGCGGAACCAUUGAGCAGACCGUUAAUUUAACUCGUCGAUGACUUGCUAAAUCUGUUGAAAAGGUGCUCUAGUUUACUAAACGAAAUCUACCCGUACAGUCAUGCAAGCUUUUCAUUCAUUUUCCUGCUUACUAUCUCGCAUAAGUAAUCGAAUAGAAAACCAGUUAACCUUUGCUUCUGCUGUAAAACUCUUAAAUUCAUUGCUUACGUCUUAUCUGGAUUGAAUACUUCCCGCUUGGAAGGUUUGGGGGGGGGGGUUAAAAUUCCUUUCAGUGUCUUGUGUACACUUCUCGGAAGGGCCUUGUUUAAAGCGUAACUAAAUAUGACAUACCCGAGAGACUUUUAUCACAUGUCGAUAUCGCUAAAUUUGAAACUAACAAAACAUGAGCCCUUGAACUAUAAACUCAGUUGUCGAGUGCGUAUUUUAACAUUUUAUCUUGCUAAAUAUAUUUUCGGCGGUUAGCACACUUAGAGACUGCCUGAUAACCCAACAAAAAUUUUAUAUGCCAUUGACUGUCACUAAAAUUGCCCUGCAUUCCAUCCGUUGGUUUCGUAUCCUGGCGCUGCUCUCAGAUAAAUACAACCGUACAGAAGCAAUUUCACUCUUUCAGAAGUAGUAACUAAAAGUAUGUAUUACAACUUUUUUCUCAUUCAAAAGUUUAUUCAUUCAGUCACUGUUUUGCCGUCGAGCAUUGUUGCCAUUAACUCUACAUGGUCACCCAAAGGAAAUGAUAGAUGGUGCGAAGUGAGGUCGAGCCCCAGGCGUAUUUCUUAACCAUACAGCCAUGACUUCGCCUAUGAAGACACAAAAUAAUUGUCUAAACACGGGCACAAGGUAUCAGCCGGAGCUGAUAACUAAUUCACUAAUUAUUUAAUAAAGGACGUAAUAAAAAAAAUAGCAGCUACCUCCCUUUCAAUUCAUACACUAGUCUUAAAUAGCAAACGAAAUGGUCCCAUAUGUCUCCCUCCAAAAGGACUGGAAGGACUUAAUAUUCCUUUAUCUAGGUUAACCCGUGUAUAAACUCUGAAGCCUCUGGAAGAUCCUUCAAUUCUCCCUGGUUUUUAAAUCCAGAAGUGAUCCAUUGGAAACUUUAGUCCUCUUAAAUACUCCUAACAACAACCUUGUUGUCGGUGCUGAGUUAGCUUUUGCGUUUGCUCAAAGCCGAAACUAAACAGUACCUUAUUAGUCUUUAUUGCAUUCUGUCUCUGAUUUUUUUUUUAGGUAAUUCUUGGUCUCAUUGUCAAUUAUUUAUGACAGCUUGUUUCUAAAGAUCUUUUUGGACAGAUUAAUUUGGUUGUUUCAAACCAAUAAGGCACUCGCUUCAACUACCAGAGAUGUUUCACCUAUUUAAAGAAGCAUCGAAUAUAUAAUUCACUACCACAGCUCUAACGAAAGAGAAUCUGCAGUGUGGUUUGGCCAAUUAGAAAUGGAUAACUAGUACUACUAGUGAACAGUGGUCCCGGUGCGCGCCCACGCGCAUCCGCGCUAGCUAGUCGUAAGUAGUCGAUCCUACGACUUGCGCGUACGUUUGUAUUUCAAGGCUG
rnacentral:lncRNA from 1 species